ensembl:misc_RNA Metazoa_SRP Metazoan signal recognition particle RNA
GCCGGGCAUGGUGGUGUGUGCCUGUAGUCCCAGCUACUCAAGAGGCUGAGGUGGGAGGAUCACUUGAGCCCAGGAGUUUGGAAGCUGCAGUGAGCUAUGAUCAUGCCACUGCACUCCAGCCUGGGUGACAGAGCGAGACCUCAUCUCUA